rnacentral:lncRNA from 1 species
UUUGCUAGCAUUGCAGCCAUAGGGGACCGUAGCAAGAAGGACAAUCCUAAUGCAAACAAGGGCACCCUGGAGGACCAGAUUAUCCAGGCUAACCCUGCUCUGGAGGCCUUUGGCAACGCCAAGACUGUCCGGAAUGACAACUCCUCCCGCUUUGGGAAGUUCAUCAGGAUCCACUUUGGAGCCACAGGAAAGCUGGCUUCUGCAGACAUAGAGACCUACCUUCUGGAGAAGUCCCGGGUGAUCUUCCAGCUAAAGGCUGAGAGGAACUACCAUAUCUUCUACCAGAUCCUGUCCAACAAGAAGCCGGAGCUGCUGGACAUGCUGCUGGUUACCAACAACCCGUACGACUAUGCCUUCGUCUCUCAGGGAGAGGUGUCUGUGGCCUCCAUUGAUGACUCCGAGGAGCUUUUGGCCACUGAUAGCGCCUUUGAUGUGCUGGGCUUCACAGCAGAGGAGAAGGCCGGUGUCUACAAGCUGACAGGCGCCAUCAUGCACUAUGGGAACAUGAAGUUCAAGCAGAAGCAGCGGGAGGAGCAGGCGGAGCCAGACGGCACAGAAGAUGCUGACAAAUCUGCCUACCUCAUGGGGCUGAACUCAGCCGACCUGCUCAAGGGUCUGUGUCACCCUCGGGUGAAGGUGGGUAACGAGUAUGUCACCAAGGGGCAGAGUGUACAGCAGGUGUACUAUUCCAUCGGGGCACUGGCCAAGUCAGUGUACGAGAAGAUGUUCAACUGGAUGGUGACACGCAUCAACGCAACCCUGGAGACCAAGCAGCCACGCCAGUACUUCAUAGGUGUCCUGGACAUCGCCGGCUUUGAGAUCUUUGAUUUCAACAGCUUUGAGCAGCUGUGCAUCAACUUCACCAAUGAGAAGCUGCAGCAGUUCUUCAACCACCACAUGUUCGUGCUGGAGCAGGAGGAGUACAAGAAGGAAGGAAGAAGCUGGCUCAGAGGCUUCAGGAUGCUGAGGAGGCAGUGGAGGCCGUCAACGCCAAGUGCUCCUCUCUGGAGAAGACCAAGCACAGGCUGCAGAACGAGAUCGAGGACCUGAUGGUGGAUGUGGAGCGCUCCAAUGCGGCCGCCGCAGCCCUGGACAAAAAGCAGAGGAACUUCGACAAGGUGGGCCCACGGUGGGGCUGCGGACGCUAUGCAUGCCCGCAGUGGGGUCAGUGCCAGCUCAAGGCCAGAGCAUGCUCCUUAGAGGCAGGGGAGCAGGGCUGAGUCAGGAGAGGGGCCUGGAGCAGCUCUGGACACAGGGUGCUCUGUCCCCACAGAUCCUGGCUGAGUGGAAGCAGAAGUAUGAGGAGUCCCAGUCAGAGCUGGAGUCUUCCCAGAAGGAGGCGCGCUCCCUGAGCACAGAGCUCUUCAAGCUCAAGAAUGCCUAUGAGGAGUCUCUGGAGCACCUGGAGACCUUCAAGCGGGAGAACAAGAACCUCCAGGGUGGGCGAGCUGAGGGGC